rnacentral:rRNA from 1 species
UGGGGAAUAUUGGACAAUGGGGGCAACCCUGAUCCAGCAAUGCCGCGUGUGUGAAGAAGGCCUUCGGGUUGUAAAGCACUUUUAUCUGGAGCGAAACACGCAACCCUAAUACGGUUGUGGACUGACGGUACCAGAGGAAUAAGCACCGGCUAACUUCGUGCCAGCAGCCGCGGUAAUACGAAGGGUGCAAGCGUUACUCGGAAUUACUGGGCGUAAAGGGUGCGUAGGUGGUUUCUUAAGUCUGCUGUGAAAGCCCCGGGCUCAACCUGGGAAUUGCAGUGGAUACUGGGGAGCUAGAGUACGGUAGAGGGUAGUGGAAUUCCCGGUGUAGCGGUGAAAUGCGUAGAGAUCGGGAGGAACACCAGUGGCGAAGGCGGCUACCUGGACCAGUACUGACACUGAAGCACGAAAGCGUGGGGAGCAAACAGGAUUAGAUACCCCCGUAGUCC